UCUUAAGAUAGCUAGGUGGGACAACCACAUAUCACAGGCAUAGAAAGUAUUCCUCAAUAAAGUAGCUAUCAGCAGAGUCAGAGCUAGAAAGAGGGGGGCCGGUUAAGUGCAAGUGCUGAUUCAGUUAUAUAUUUUUAUGUCCGCCUGUUUUAACUGAAUAGCUAAAGCAACUCCAUGCUUAUUAACACUUUAACCAAAUGAACAUGAUACAACAAAUCCUGGAAUAUAUUCCUCACUAUCACCUAUUCAAAUAUUUAAAAAAAAAUUUGCCGGGAGUUUGUGUCACUGAGGGCGCGCCCCAGCUCCGCCGCGGGUGGGUUGGGAAAUUGCUGGAACAUUCCGUUCAGCUUCAUCAACAUCCAGCACCAGCCAACAUAAGCUAGAAUAGGGAUAUUUGCUCUCACCCCCCUCUGCUCCUAAGGAGGCCAGUAUAAAUACAGGGAGCUGGAGAAAGCGAUAAAGACAAGACAAACACUUACAGACUAAGAACAAUGUGGUUGCCCCUGCUACUGUGCCAGCUUGGCAUGAUUUUGCAGAACGAGGCCCAGACACCCAGCACUUUUUGCAACACACACUCAACAUUCAGACCACCAGUGAACUCUGACAUCACAGUGACCUGUGGUACUAAGGUUAUGGAGAUGAGUAUCUUGUUAUGCCCAGUCUACUUUGGUGGAUACAACGAAACCCUGAUGGCCCUCAAUGCCCAGUUCAUCCUCCCAGAGUGCAAUGGAAUGCCUGACUGGAACGUUGACCCUCCGAUCCUAAAAUUCAAUCUGUCAAUAACUGCUGAUGCUGUGGCUGUCUGCUCCAACACA